rnacentral:rRNA from 1 species
CCUACGGGAGGGCCAGGCAGUGGGGAAUAUUGCACAAUGGGCGGCAAGCCUGAUGCAGCCAUGCCGCGUGUGUGAAGAAGGCCUUCGGGUUCGUAAAAGCACUUUCAGUCAGGUAGGAAAGGUUAACGGUUAAUACCCGUUAGCUGUGACGUUACUGACAGAAGAAGCACCGGCUAACUCCGUGCCAGCAGCCGCGGUAA